rnacentral:rRNA from 1 species
CUUUACUGUAGCUUGGUAUUGUGCCCGGGCUCUGAAUGCGCAGGAUAGGUGGGAGACUAUGAAGCAAUCCUUGUGGGGAUUGUGGAGUCAACAGUGAGAUACCACUCUGUCAGAGCUAGAAUUCUAACCUUCACCCGUUAUCCGGGGAAGGAACCGUAUCAGGCGGGCAGUUUGACUGGGGCGGUCGCCUCCUAAAUGGUAACGGAGGCGCGCAAAGGUGUUCUCAGGCUGGUUGGAAAUCAGCCGCAGAGUGUAAAGGCAGAAGAACGCUUGACUGUGAGAGUGACAACUCGAGCAGGGUGGAAACACGGCCUUAGUGAUCCGACGGCUUGUGCGUGGAAAUGCCGUCGCUCAACGGAUAAAAGUUA